rfam:Rattus norvegicus chromosome 11, whole genome shotgun sequence.
GGGGAUUUAGCUCAGUGGUAGAGCGCUUGCCUAGCAAGUGCAAGGCCCUGGGUUCAGUCCCAGCUCCG